CCUACGGGUGGCUGCAGUGAGGAAUAUUGGUCAAUGGGCGUAAGCCUGAACCAGCCAAGUCGCGUGAGGGAUGAAGGUUCUAUGGAUCGUAAACCUCUUUUUUAAGGGAAUAAAGUGUGGGACGUGUCCUGUUUUGUCUGUACCUUAUGAAUAAGGAUCGGCUAACUCCGUGCCAGCAGCCGAGGUAAUACGGAGGAUCCGAGCGUUAUCCGGUUUUAUUGGGUUUACAGGGUGCGUAGGCGGCCUUUUAAGUCAGAGGUGAAAUGCUGUGGCUCAACCAUAGAAUUGCCGUUGAAACUGGGAGGCUAGAGUAUGUGUGAGGUAGGCGGAAUGCGUGGUGUAGCGGUGAAAUGCUUAGAGAUCACGCAGAACCCCGAUUGCGAAGGCAGCCUGCCAAGCCAUGACUGACGCUGAUGCACGAAAGCGUGGGGAGCAAACAGGAUUAGAUACCCCAGUAGUC
rnacentral:rRNA from 1 species